rnacentral:Y_RNA from 1 species
GACUGGCCCACAGGUGGUGAGGUCUCUCAAUUGUUCGCAGUUACAAGUCGAGCUCCUUGUUCUACUCUUUCCUCCGCUCACCGCUGCACUUGACUCGUCUUAA